rnacentral:rRNA from 1 species
GACGAACGCUGGCGGCGUGCCUAAUACAUGCAAGUAGAACGCACAGUUUAUACCGUAGCUUGCUACACCAUAGACUGUGAGUUGCGAACGGGUGAGUAACGCGUAGGUAACCUGCCUGGUAGCGGGGGAUAACUAUUGGAAACGAUAGCUAAUACCGCAUAAUAUUAAUUAUUGCAUGAUAAUUGAUUGAAAGAUGCAACUGCAUCACUACCAGAUGAACCUGCGUUGUAUUAGCUAGUAGGUGAGGUAACGGCUCACCUAGGCGACGAUACAUAGCCGACCUGAGAGGGUGAUCGGCCACCCUGGGACUGAGACACGGCCCAGACUCCUACGGGAGGCAGCAGUAGGGAAUCUUCGGCAAUGGACGAAAGUCUGACCGAGCAACGCCGCGUGAGUGAAGAAGGUUUUCGGAUCGUAAAGCUCUGUUGUAAGAGAAGAACGGGUGUGAGAGUGGAAAGUUCACACUGUGACGGUAUCUUACCAGAAAGGGACGGCUAACUACGUG